UCCUUCUCCGAUGGUGAUGAAGCUGUGAAGACGCUGAUUCAGCAACAGAUUUUGAGCGGGUUCGAGCUCGGUUCGGACUUGGGUUCGAAUCACGGAUGUUUCGGGUUUGUUCCGGGUCUCGGUUCAGAAAAGGAAGUAGCAGGACGUGAUUGACCUACCUUGACUGUUAACCAUUUUUAAGAGACCAACCGAGCAAACCAAAGGUAAUUAUUGAAG